CCCUUAGAUGUUCUGGGCCGCACGCGCGCUACACUGAUACAUGCAACGAGUUUAUAACCUUGAUCUGACGGUCUGGGUAAUCUUCAAACUGUAUCGUGUUAGGGAUCGAUUCUUGCAAUUUUUAAUCGUAAACGAGGAAUUCCUAGUAAACGCAAGUCAUCAGCUUGCAUUGAUUACGUCCCUGCCCUUUGUACACACCGCCCGUCGACUCCACCGAUUGAAUGGUUCGGUGAAAACUUUGGACUGUGGCAUUGUCCUUCAUUGGACUUCGCCGUAGGAAAUUGUUUAAACCUCAUCAUUUAGAGGAAGAAUAAGUCGUAACA
rnacentral:rRNA from 1 species